GUGGGAUAUUUGUCUUCUUGUUUUCAUAUUGUUAAAGUAAUUAUUUCAUUGUAUGUACAUGUAUGUAUUUGUAUGGGGGUCUUGUUUGUUAUCAAAUUAAGUGAGGUGCUUAUUUUCGUCAUUGUUUUCCAUGUUUUCUGCAGUUUAUGUUCAGGUCUUUAUGUUUUCUGAAGUAUACUGAUAUUUUUAUAUGAAGAUAACAUCAAAAGCAAAAUAUUCUUAGCUUUAAAAAGGUGUUUCUUUGAAAAAAAAUAUCUGAAAAGUUAGAUUAAAUGCUAUUUGAAAUUUCC
rnacentral:lncRNA from 1 species